rnacentral:rRNA from 1 species
AAAAAUUAGAGUGGUUAAAGCAGGCUCACGCUUGAAUACAUUAGCAUGGUAUAACGGAAUAGGACGUUUGAUUCUAUUUUGUUGGGUUCUAGGAUCGACGUAAUGAUUAAUAGGGAUAGUUGGGGGCAUUAGUAUUCAAUUGUCAGAGGUGAAAUUCUUGGAUUUAUUGAAGACUAACUACUGCGAAAGCAUUUGCCAAGGAUGUUUUCAUUAAUCAAGAACGAAAGUUAGGGGAUCGAAGACGAUCAGAUACCGUCGUAGUCUUAACCAUAAACUAUGCCGACUAGGGAUCGGAUGAUGUUAAUUUUUAAA